rnacentral:rRNA from 1 species
AGUGAACGCUGGCGGUAGGCCUAACACAUGCGAGUCGAACGGCAGCACAGUAAGAGCUUGCUCUUACGGGUGGCGAGUGGCGGACGGGUGAGGAAUACAUCGGAAUCUACUUUUUCGUGGGGGAUAACGUAGGGAAACUUACGCUAAUACCGCAUACGACCUACGGGUGAAAGCAGGGGAUCUUCGGACCUUGCGCGAUUGAAUGAGCCGAUGUCGGAUUAGCUAGUUGGCGGGGUAAAGGCCCACCAAGGCGACGAUCCAUAGCUGGUCUGAGAGGAUGAUCAGCCACACUGGAACUGAGACACGGUCCAGACUCCUACGGGAGGCAGCAGUGGGGAAUAUUGGACAAUGGGCGCAAGCCUGAUCCAGCCAUACCGCGUGGGUGAAGAAGGCCUUCGGGUUGUAAAGCCCUUUUGUUGGGAAAGAAAAGCAGCAGGUUAAUACCCCGCUGUUCUGACGGUACCCAAAGAAUAAGCACCGGCUAACUUCGUG